CGCGAAGAACCUUACCUAGACUUGACAUCUCCUGCAUUACCCUUAAUCGGGGAAGUUCCUUCGGGRACAGGAAGACAGGUGGUGCAUGGUUGUCGUCAGCUCGUGUCGUGAGAUGUUGGGUUAAGUCCCGCAACGAGCGCAACCCUUAUUGUUAGUUGCUACCAUUUAGUUGAGCACUCUAGCGAGACUGCCCGGGUUAACCGGGAGGAAGGUGGGGAUGACGUCAAAUCAUCAUGCCCCUUAUGUCUAGGGCUACACACGUGCUACAAUGGCAAGUACAAAGAGAAGCAAGACCGCGAGGUGGAGCAAAACUCAAAAACUUGUCUCAGUUCGGAUUGUAGGCUGAAACUCGCCUACAUGAAGCUGGAGUUGCUAGUAAUCGCGAAUCAGCAUGUCGCGGUGAAUACGUUCCCGGGUCUUGUACACACC
rnacentral:rRNA from 1 species